CUAAAACCGCGAAACACGUAACCCGCGUUCUCGUUAUAGGAAAAGUAUCCCUCUCGUGAGGCUCUUCUCGGUCGAGCCACCCCUUUCCCCGCUUUUAAUCGCGUAUGUAUGUGCGGCGUUUAGAGGGAAAAUUCAUGGACGUGUCACGUACGUUUUCCCGUACCCUUCCUCGAUCAUGCUCCUUCCCGUUCGCUCGUGCCUGAUACCGACAUCCGACAACGCGAGCCGAAUCACAGCUGAUAUCAACAGCACCGUCGCUGUCAUCAUUGUCUGUGCCGCGAACAACGUAACAACGUGACAUCAAUCCCGGUGAAUCGAUUGAAUCGAACCGGCGAUCGGGAGAAGCCGUGACCUUGACGAUUCACGUUGCAAGCGGGAUAUACCAGAUUAGACGGGAAGGGGGGGGGGAGGGGGCAAUUAACGCGCGUUAUCCGACGAUGAUGCGCUAAUGGAGAACGAUCGCGGUACCCGCGUUAUUAUCCUCGGAAGAAAGAACACAUGAUUGCUUUGCGAUGCACGUAGGAUAUACAGUGGUAGAAGUCUGAACUUUUGACAACUCUCGAUUAUGCCAUUUCGUGUGUUCUGUACUUAUUUUAAUAUCUCAACCGAAGAGAUUGUGUCAAAUGUCAUCGGACAGAUACGCGACAAAUGUGUUGAGAUAGUCGGUUUUUAUAAGAUAUAAUCUAAUCAUACAUUGAUGAUAGCUUGAAGAUUGAUUGAACAUCAGACUGUCUCAUCGGAGUGUAUUUUACGUGUGAUUAAUUUGAAUAAAAAUAUGUAAAAAAAAAUAUGACAGUAAUCUUAGAAUUACGAUGAUUUUCCGAAGUGUCUCAAUGAGAAAACAAAAUGAGAGAACAGACGAGAAGGAGGAAUCUCGUAAACGUAAAUGCGACGCUGAUACUCUGACGUUCAGCCGCCUCGAGAACGUCGCGAGAAUCAUCUUGGACGAUCGCACGUCGGGGUGAUUACGGUCGUAAGGGACCGUCGUCGUAGUGGCACGGGUGCGCAAGGCAAAACAUGAAUGACAGCAAGAUCUAUUUAUUGAGCUUGGAAGACGAGGCAAACGUAUUAAACGACGAUCUGGUCGACAAGAGUUUCUACAACACGAGCUAUCCACCGCUCUUUAAUCACACCCACGAGGAUCUCUGGGGACUCGCCACGGAUCGAAUUGGUCUUGCGAUAGUUUUGUUGCUCUUCUCCGUAGCUACCGUCUUCGGCAACUCGUUGGUGAUCCUCGCGGUAUUUCGCGAGAGGCAUCUGCACACAGCGACAAACUACUUCGUGACCUCGUUGGCCUGCGCCGAUUGUCUGGUAGGCCUGGUGGUGAUGCCAAUCAGCGCGAUAUACGAGGUACUAGAGAACCGUUGGCUCUUCACGAUAGACUGGUGCGAUGUCUGGCGAUCGUUGGACGUUCUCUUCUCCACGGCAUCCAUCCUGAAUCUGUGCGUCAUUAGCCUAGACCGCUACUGGGCGAUCACCGAUCCCUUCACGUAUCCGAUGCGUAUGAGCAGGAAACGCGCGGCAAUCCUUAUCGCUAUUGUGUGGAUCUGCUCGAGCGCUAUCUCCUUCCCCGCGAUAGCGUGGUGGCGUGCGGUACGGACCGAGCAAGUACCCGAAGACAAGUGUCCGUUCACAGAGAAUCUCGGCUAUCUGAUAUUUUCGUCGACAAUUAGCUUUUACCUGCCGCUAUUCGUGAUGGUGUUCACGUAUUACAGAAUCUAUCGCGCUGCCGUGAUACAGACGAGGAGUCUGAAACUCGGCACGAAACAAGUGAUGAUGGCUUCCGGUGAGCUCGAGCUUACACUCAGAAUGCACCGGGGCGGUGUGUCCACAAACACCGAUGCCAGACACCUAUUCCGCACCGCCUCGAGCACGCCUGAGGAUCUUCAGGAUCUCGAGGAACCGUUAACGGCACUCCACAACAACGGUCUUACCAGAGUGCCAUCCGUGCGGAUCAACAACAAGCAGCAUCUGGGCAAAAAUUUCUCUUUGUCGCGGAAGCUUGCCAAGUUUGCCAAGGAGAAGAAGGCGGCGAAGACUCUUGGUAUCGUUAUGGGUGUCUUUAUUAUUUGUUGGCUACCGUUCUUCGUUGUGAAUCUAUGGUCAGGAUUCUGCACGAAGUGUAUAUGGCAGGAGGAAAUCGUGUCCGCUGCCGUCACCUGGCUCGGCUGGAUUAACAGCGGAAUGAAUCCUGUAAUAUACGCCUGCUGGAGUAGAGACUUUCGUAGAGCUUUUGUCAGAAUUCUAUGCUACUGUUGUCCCAGAAAAAUGAAACGGCGGUAUCAACCGGCAUUCAGAUGUAAACCAAGUCAGAAAUUUGCAUCCGGACGGUACUACUCCGCGUAUUCGAUCCAUCACGUACGGAGAAGUCGAGAAAAUUCCGGCGAGCAAACCUACAUUUAACAACGGAAUAUCAUCGCGAGCUGGCCGUCGAUCGUUGAUCGUAGAAUUCCUCGAGACUUUUCUUUUUAUCUUUUAUUUUCUUCGUCCCUUUUUAAUGUAAUAUGAGUAAAGCAGUUAAUACAGUUUAGCAAUUAAUUUCCAACUGUAAUUCCCGUAUCUAUUUUCCAAGACCCUUACGUAUCAGAGAUCGACGAACAUCUCAACGAAUAUCGACGCAUUCCCGUAGAAUGUAAAUUCUCGUAUAUUUCCGGAAUGGCAACGGGAGGGCAAGCGAGUAAUGUAAGCUACAGUAGUGUCAGCCAAAGUAGCGAUGGUGGCAUAUGCGCAACCGGAAGUGGACCUUCCAGCGGCGGUAUGUGACGUCACACGUCGGCCCGAUCGGGGCCACGUCGAGAGCGAGCAAUUCGAUUCCGUGAGGCGUGAUUGGUGACACGAUCAAGAUCGAGAAGACCCUAAAAAAACUAGAAGAAUUUUUCUGUGCAAUUUAAUUUUAUUGCGCUUGGAAAAUGUCAAGAGGACGCGCUUUGGACGGUAUCACAAUUCAUUGCUGCGAGACGUCUCUGCGAAACAAAAAAUAGGAACGUGUUGUGGGUGGACGGGAUAGAAACGGCUUGACGAGUGAACAUAUAGACCGCGAAACACCUGAUGCUGCGAAACACGUACUUAACAAUGGACUUUCGCAACGGCUUUCAAAUUGCCACGAUUUAACUUAAAACGAAUCGUUGGAUUCUCGCUUCUGUAAUCGUAUUAACGAGUGAGCAAACACGUUGCGAAUGUAUUCUGUCAUCGCACGUGGGCUCUUGAAGGGAAGUAAAAACCAGCGUGGUCAGCUCGGGCGUAAUGCGCCGCAAGAGACUAAAUUUGUAGAUGCUCUAUUCAUGUUACAGAAAAAGAUCUUAUAGAAAAAAGUAUCCUUGUGGAAGUUUAACACACGCGAUCUCUCAUCUAAGACGCUGAUUGUACCAAUUACAGAUCAAUGCUACCUCUGAUUAGUCAAACUUUCUGAAACUAUUUGCAUCGUUAAUAGAAUUAUAAUAUGUAAAAGUGACAGUCAAUAUGAAAAAAAUUCACAAUUGCUAGUCCAAGAUUUAAUUACCUAAUACUGUCGAUGCAACCGAAGAUAAGAUAUUGUAUGAGACCAAACUAUAGAUAUCUGUGACAAUUAGAUAAGCUCGCGACUACUCUCGAUGGAACUUAUUCGAUGGCAAAAAAGAAGAUACGCGCAUAUAGAUGCGAGUAGAUGUAAAUAACAAACAAAAGCAAUAUAUACAAGUAAAAAAAGUCUCAAAUAAGAAAAAAAAUAAAUAUUUGGGCAAUAUAUAUUUCACAUCCUUUGAAUAUAACGUACAUACGAAGAUAGUUUUGUAAAAAGAACUAGUCACAUGUAUAUUGAAUAGUCUUAAGGAUAGAAAAAGAGUUAGAGGAAAAAACAUUCUGUUCUUUUAACUUCAAAUAUAAGUAAAAGAUAAGAAUAAGUUUGUAUGCAAAGCUUUUUCAGACAGAUGCAGCUUUUGAGUCUUUUUACUUUAUCAAAUAUUUUUUUUUUUUUUUUGUAUUAGUAUAAUAUUUUUAUUUUUAUAGUAGUUUUUGUUGUUCUAUACACUUUCUAGCUUGUUUUACUUGAUUAUAUAUAUGUUAAUUAACGCAUUAUACAAUGCAAUACUUUUUUUCAAUAAUUCUUCCGACAAUAAAAAUAUCAGAAAAAAGUUUUAAUACAAGAUAUAGUUAAAUGAAGAAAAAAU